AUGGAGAUUGACUGCCUGGAGCUAGUCGAUCUAUGGAUUUCGUGCGGCAACACCAGAUCAGUUGCAGCGCCUAUCUUGAAUGAACUGGAGGGAAUUGGUGCUACCUUUGCUUCUUUAUCUAUUACGCAUGUCAGCAGGGAAGCUAAUGUGCCGGCGCAUCAGUGUGCCCGUUUAGCUAGCACACUGGAUGGCACUAAGAGUUGGCUUGAUUCAAGCCCUGAUUUUUUGGUCUCUAGCCUGCGGGCGGAUUGUAAUUCUAUGAUUCUAAGUUAA
rnacentral:rRNA from 1 species